AAGUUCUCAACCCAAAUCUUCAUCACAUAGCUUUGUACAUCUAAAUUUGCUAAAUCUUGAACCAAAGAUUAGGCAUAUCUAUCAUUUAAGGAUGUAGAGACAAAUGUGUCCUCUUUCCCAAGCUCGGCUAUAAGUAGCAUCAUUCCAUCUUGUUGAGAGUAAGAGUAGGUGCGUUAAGAGCAAAUGUGUAGAAAAUAAAGUGAG
rnacentral:misc_RNA from 1 species